AGUCCAUUUCUCUUAGUUUAUUUUCAUCAAUGCAGACAGAGUCCUGUCUCCUAGGCUCUCUAGCAGAGAAAAUUCCUUUAGUGGGUUUAUUUACUUUUAAAAUAAGAGAAUCAAAAACACACAGAUAAAGGUUUCACUGGAACAUGGAAGUUCUGUGUGUAGAAGUGAAGGACAGAAUGAAAGGACUGUGAAGGAUGGUGUGAGCUCUAACGACGGGUGAGAUGAUUCUCCAUCUGUUAGUGAAGGAGGAUGAUCGCAGCUCUGUGAAGAGAACUAAAAGUACCCAUGGAGGCCAGAAGGGGGCAUCAGAUUCCCCUGAGAAUGACAUUAACAGAGUGGUAUCAGCUGCCUCAUAAGUGCUUAGAAUAGAGCCUGGGUCCUGUGCAAAACCGGCUGAGGUGGAGAAAUCUUAUGUGCUAAGAACAUUUGGAGGCUCAUUGUUCAACCCAUAGGGUACUUGCACUCGCUCCCAGCUGGACCAGGAUCCUGCAGAACCCUACCUGUUCUGGACUCUGAUUCAUCCUUUAUCCAGUGGGAAAAGCAAUGGAUUUUCUGCUGAUCAUCUGUCAAAUUCCAUGGACAAUUAAACUCCUCAUCUGAAGUGGAGAUGGCACCUUCUCCUUCGUAUCAGAAGCAAGUCCUACUCUUUGACUUAGUAAGAACUGCAAAUCGCUACCGUAACAGACAAGUCCCUAUGAGACAACGUUUCUCACUGAACCAGGGACUUACCCAUUUUGUGAGGCUGAUUGGCCAGCAAGCCCUAGGUUGGGCAAAGACGAGAGAGAGAGAAGGAUGGAUCAAGAUUACAGUAUGUCCUACAUCCUUGCUUCACUACUUUCAAAAGAGGAGAACUGACUUUAAAAGAUAAACUGAAAAUAUACCACUGCUUGCUAAAGAGAAAUAGAGAUAUUGGUUAUGCUAUAAAUGUUCCCUAAAGAAUUGUCAAUUAUAUCACAGAAAGUUCUGAGUGGAGGACCUGGGAGUCAGGUUUCUUGCGUUAAACUCUGGUUCUGUCAAUUCCUCAGGCUGUGCAUGUUUUAGAUUUCUCUUUUUCUAUGCUAUAGGGUCACCAGAACUGAAUGAAUGAAUAGACAUAGAACCAUCACUGGGCAGUUUUAUCAUAAUGAAUUUUGAUUCACUAUAAGUCUAUUCUUAGUUUUUUUUUUCCUUAAAGCUAGGAAUUUUUAGGGAAGACCAUGUGGAAGAUCUCCAGCUAAAUUUAUUUAAAAGCAAAAUUCAGUCUAUGUAUCCCCAGAAGAGCUGUGUAAUUUUGCCUGGAUUUGGAUGCAGGGAUGGAUGGGAUAAAAUGAUUCUCUUUAAUUCUAUUUCUUUAAUCCAAGUGCCUUUUUCUUCUCCAUUCCCAGUGUUGGUUAUAGGGUAUCCUCCAGAGAAGACAGCUUUGACAUGCGUUUCAGCCAAUAGAAAGUCCUUUUUAGCUAGUCAGCAACUACACUGGGUGUUCAGGACCCCAGUGUAGCACGGAGCCUAUCUUAGGGUGAGGUUUUAAGCACAAAACCAAUAACCCAGGUUAACAUACUUCAGCUAACAAGAACAGUUAGCCAGAAGGAACUAUAGAAGCCAAAAUGCAAGGUUAGUACAUUUAGAGAUUUUCCUAGAACUGUGGACUUUGAUGGAUUCUGUCUGUGUUCUUGAUUUUUUUGGCAGGUGGGGAUGGCUGUGUGCUAUGUUUUAUGGCUUAAAUGGUAUUUAGAUUAUUGAGUCAGCUGUGCUAAGGCAUGGGGGCCUUCUAAGGUCUAGGAACCUGUUACAAUAAUCUUCUACUACUACUACUACUACUACUACUACUACUACUACUACUACUACCACCACUACUACACAGUGUCCUUCCAUGUAGCCUUGACAGUCCCUCUUUAUAGAGAUCAGUCUGGCCUUGAACUUGUUAAGAUCCAUUUGUUUCUGCCUCCCAAGUGCUAGGAUUAAAGGUGUACACCGUUCUUUCUGGUUCCUGCUGUCCUUUAAAAACAAACAAACAAACAAGCAAGCAAGCA